GACGAAAUUAUUUUAGUCAUUGCGUUUUAGACAAAUAUCCAGAGCCUACACGACAUUUGCAUCUGUUAACCUAAGUAGUCCCUCUGUCCAAUUUGUAGGGUAUUUUCUGUUAAAUCAAGGUGAAAAUACUCAAAUGCCUUAAUAUCUCUUCUAAGCAGUGUUCUGAGAAUCGGACCGGUUAGUGAACCGGUGAAGGUAGGAGUUCA
rnacentral:lncRNA from 1 species